rnacentral:rRNA from 1 species
UACGUAGGCAGCGAGCGUUGUUCGGAGUUACUGGGCGUAAAGGGUGUGUAGGCGGUUGUUUAAGUUUGGUGUGAAAUCUCCCGGCUCAACUGGGAGGGUGCGCCGAAUACUGAAUGACUUGGAGUGCGGGAGAGGUGAGUGGAAUUCCUGGUGUAGCGGUGAAAUGCGCAGAUAUCAGGAAGAACACCCGUGGCGAAGGCGGCUCUCUGGGACGGUACUGACGCUGAGACGCGAAAGCGUGGGGAGCAAACAGG